UACAGAGGUGGCAAGCGUUGUUCGGAAUUACUGGGCGUAAAGGGCGCGUAGGCGGUCUUGCAAGUCCUGUGUGAAAUCCCUCGGCUCAACUGAGGAACUGCACAGGAAACUGCUUGGCUUGAGUUCGGGAGAGGGAAGCGGAAUUCCGGGUGUAGCGGUGAAAUGCGUAGAUAUCCGGAGGAACACCGGUGGCGAAGGCGGCUUCCUGGACCGACACUGGCGCUGAGGCGCGAAAGCUAGGGGAGCAAACGGG
rnacentral:rRNA from 1 species